rnacentral:siRNA from 1 species
GAGGUUAUGGAAGCUUUAGUGGU